AUUGAACGCUGGCGGCAGGCCUAACACAUGCAAGUCGAGCGGCAGCGGGAAAGUAGCUUGCUACUUUUGCCGGCGAGCGGCGGACGGGUGAGUAAUGCCUGGGACAUUGCCCAGUCGAGGGGGAUAACAGUUGGAAACGACUGCUAAUACCGCAUACGCCCUACGGGGGAAAGCAGGGGACCUUCGGGCCUUGCGCGAUCGGAUAUGCCCAGGUGGGAUUAGCUAGUUUGUGAGGGAAUCGCUCACCAAGGCGACGAUGCCUAGCUGGUCUGGGAGGAUGCUCAGCCACACUGGGAAUAAGCCACGGUCCAGACUCCUACGGGAGGCAGCAGUGGGGAAUAUUGCACAGUGGGGGAAACCCUGAUGCAGCCAUGCCGCGUGUGUGAAGAAGGCCUUCGGGUUGUAAAGCACUUUCAGCGAGGAGGAAAGGUUGAUGCCUAAUACGUAUCAACUGUGACGUUACUCGCAGAAGAAGCACCGGCUAACUCCGUGCCAGCCGCCGCAGUAA
rnacentral:rRNA from 1 species